rnacentral:rRNA from 1 species
AUUGAACGCUGGCGGCAGGCUUAACACAUGCAAGUCGAGCGGGGUGAUGGUGCUUGCACUAUCACUUAGCGGCGGACGGGUGAGUAAUGCUUAGGAAUCUGCCUAUUAGUGGGGGACAACAUCUCGAAAGGGAUGCUAAUACCGCAUACGUCCUACGGGAGAAAGCAGGGGAUCACUUGUGACCUUGCGCUAAUAGAUGAGCCUAAGUCGGAUUAGCUAGUUGGUGGGGUAAAGGCCUACCAAGGCGACGAUCUGUAGCGGGUCUGAGAGGAUGAUCCGCCACACGGGGAAUGAGAACCGGCCCAGACUCCUACGGGAGGCAGCAGUGGGGAAUAUUGGACAAUGGGGGGAACCCUGAUACAGCCAUGCCGCGUGUGUGAAGAAGGCCUUAUGGUUGUAAAGCACUUUAAGCGAGGAGGAGGCUCUUUUGGUUAAUACCCAAGAUGAGUGGACGUUACUCGCAGAAUAAGCACCGGCUAACUCUGUGCCAGCAGCCGCAGUAA